CCUACGGGUGGCAGCAGUGGGGGAUAUUGCACAAUGGAGGGAACUCUGAUGCAGCGACGCCGCGUGAGGGAAGAAGGUUCUCGGAUUGGAAAACUCCGUUUUCGGUGACGAAACGAGACGGACGCCGAGGAGGAAGCCACGGCUAACUACGUGCGAGCAGCCGAGGUAAUACGCAGCGGGCGCGCGUUGUCCGGAUUUACGGGGUUUAACGGGAGCGUAGGCGGUAAAGCAAGUUGAAUGUUAAAGCUACGGGCUCAACCUGUACAAGCAUUUGAAACCGUUGGUCUUGAGUUGAGUAGAGGUAGGCGGAAUUCGUGGUGUAGCGGUGAAAUGCUUAGAUAUUACGAGGAACCCCGAUGGCGAAGGCAGCUUACUGGGCUUUAACUGACGCUGAGGCUCGAAAGUGUGGGUAUCAAACAGGAUUAGAUACCCCAGUAGUC
rnacentral:rRNA from 1 species